rnacentral:rRNA from 1 species
UGGGGGAAUUUUUGAAGCAAUGGGCGAAAGGCCCUGAUCCAGCAAUGCCGCGUGUGUGAAGAAGGCCUUCGGGUUGUAAAGCACUUUUGUCCGGAAAGAAAUCCUUGGCUCUAAUACAGUCGGGGGAUGACGGUACCGGAAGAAUAAGCACCGGCUAACUACGUGCCAGCAGCCGCGGUAAUACGUAGGGUGCAAGCGUUAAUCGGAAUUACUGGGCGUAAAGCGUGCGCAGGCGGUUUUGCUAAGACCGAUGUGAAAUCCCCGGGCUCAACCUGGGAACUGCAUUGGUGACUGGCAGGCUAGAGUAUGGCAGAGGGGGGCUAGAAUUCCACGUGUAGCAGUGAAAUGCGUAGAGAUGUGGAGGAAUACCGAUGGCGAAGGCAG